GCCCUCUCAGACCCCUCCCCCGCUCUUCCCGACUCCACCCCUCUUUCUGCUGCCCACUGGAGAUGCUGCCAGGAAAACAGAGGUUCUGGAGAAUACGUUCAUUCAGCUACAGGGAGAGGAGGAGGCUGAGAAGCCAGAACAGCCAGCUCAUCCUGAAAGUAGAGGCCCAUGAGGUCCCUUUCUGGCCCAAAAGAUUCCCACCCCGAGCCUGGCUCCAAUCAGCUAAUUUUUCAGACCUUUGAUCCAUUGAUCCUUUGGGCAGUCUGGGCUUGCUUGGUUCAGUGAGAGGCAGCAGAGGACGAGAGAAAUUGUGCAGGGCUGAGAGCUGUGAAGUCACUGGGUGAGUCCCUUCCCCUUGCCAGGCCUCAGUUUCCCAGUCUGUAAAAUAAGAGGACUGGAGGGACUGACUCUAGGGCUGACUCUGACCUUUUCUCUCCAAGCGUAGGUGAGCGGUGUGACCACACCAGGCCAAGGAAGAAGCACGUGCCCAGCCUGCCAUCUGCCCUCCUGUCCUGGAGCCAGCUCUUUCCACCAGCUUCCUUCGUCUUUUAACACUUGGUGAAAAGGAAUGACACGUCAGUCACAGCCACUGGCCAGUGCUCACGGAGCAUCUGGCAGGAGGAAGCGCCUUCCUGGCUGGCCUCCCAUUCAUCAGUCAGAGCCGCAGGCUGGGCCAGGAAGCUGCAUUUGUUGGCCAGGAUUUGAGAUUUCUUUCACUGAGGCCUCCGGAGAGUCAUUCCAAAGGUGAACAUGGAGCACAAACUCAAGAAGUGAAACCACAUGUACUGCCUCAAAAGCAACAAGGCAGGAGGGUGUCGAAAACCCCGGGGGGGAGAUACAAAGGCUCAAAGUUCUGCAACCCGCACCCCUUGGAAAGAGGGUAGGUCAGCUCCUCUCCCAACCCAAACUCCCAGUUUGAAUUUUUAAAACAUCAGCCUUCUAAGCAAGCAUCUGCCACUGUCCG
rnacentral:lncRNA from 10 species